UUAGACAAAGGCAUGGAUUUUGGAGAGACUGCAAAAGUCAUUCAGGAAAUGUACCCUUUGCUCUUUAAACUCUCUACGGAAUCCUUGAUGAUUUCCUCCAUGGAGGCAAAUUGGAGACCUAGAUCCAUUAGCUUUUUCGAUCC